rnacentral:rRNA from 1 species
ACAGCAGCCGCCGCGGUAAUACAGAGGGUGCGAGCGUUAAUCGGAUUUACUGGGCGUAAAGCGUGCGUAGGCGGCUUUUUAAGUCGGAUGUGAAAUCCCUGAGCUUAACUUAGGAAUUGCAUUCGAUACUGGGAAGCUAGAGUAUGGGAGAGGAUGGUAGAAUUCCAGGUGUAGCGGUGAAAUGCGUAGAGAUCUGGAGGAAUACCGAUGGCGAAGGCAGCCAUCUGGCCUAAUACUGACGCUGAGGUACGAAAGCAUGGGGAGCAAACAGGAUUAGAUACCCGAGUAGUCCCUGUCUCUUAUAC